UAAAGAUCAUUUAGGAACGGAGGUAGUAAGUGUUAGUGUGCUUUUACUUAGACAUUCUCCUCCUCCUCAAGGAAGUGCGCCUGCAGCCACUGCCCUCCCUGGCUCCCCAUGGCGUGGAUUCCUCUGAGUCGGACGAAUCUAGCUGGCGACAAUCGGUCCUCUUCCACCUCUUCUAGGGCGGCGAACCAAGCUCAUUUCGACCCGCACCUUCGAACCCACCAGUUUUUCAGGUACCAAUUAAUUGAGGAUAAGUUAAAGCUAUCAACUUAUUUAUCUUGGACAUUCUGCUCCUGUGCAACAGGAAGCUGGAGUUGCAUCACAGCUUGAGUUACUCAAAGGAGAAUCCAGAAUACCAAAAGUUUGAGGGGGGUGUAAGCUUGGAGCUAGAAAAAAGUUGGGAAAAGUUGUUUGGAGAUUCUUAUGCAAUAGGGGAAAAUGUCUAUGUGCCCUCAAUGGAUUCCAUUUGAAGACCUUACUAUACAAAAUGAAAGUAUGGAGGACGGGAAUACAGAAAACUAUGGAGGAGAUGCCUAUUUCCCAAGUAACCAACUUAAUGAUGAAUUACUUGAUGUUGAAAACUUUUUUAUUUUAUGGAACAGGCGCGUAAUGAUGCAAAUAUAGGAAGUUCGACAAGUAGGUCACAAGUGACUCAUGAAGCUUCCAAUAAGAUCCAAAAGAAACCUCCAACAAAGUCUAAUAGUGGCCAAGUAAAACGUAUAAGAAGACAAUCAGGAGGAUCUGCAAUGUUAUCUAAGGGAAUCGUCGAACUGACAUAGUGUGUUAAGAUUAUGAGUCAAAAUAGUACAUCUAAUGAUGGUAUGUCUUCAUCCAUAUCCACAGUUUCUAAGGCAAUGCAAAUUAUAAGUCGUAUGGUGGAUAAAGAGUGUUUGGAGAAACAUAGUGAGUUGUGAUUCUAUGCUACUACUGUCAUCGAAGAUUCAACUAAGAGGGAGGUUCUUUUUAGCAUGGAGGACGAUGUUAGUAGAGCUAAAUGUUUAGAAUACCUAUAUAAUAAGGAACAUAAGUAAAAUGGGUCAACUAGUUUAGAUAUUUAUGUUUUGUUUGUUGUAGUGGUAAUUGUUUUUGUUUUGUGGUUUUGAAAUUAUGGGAUUAUUUCUGUUAUU